rnacentral:sRNA from 1 species
AAAGGAACAGAACUCAGGGAGCGGAGAACACUCUUUUUACCUCCCACAGAAGAACUCUCCCGGGAACCGGUCGUCACUGAGCUGGAUUCGCUCUCUACGUCAUUUGCUAUCAUUGACUGGAGCUGCCCUCUGUGAGUUUGCUGGGCUUCCAUUCUGAAUUUCAUUUGUUUAUAUAACACUCGGCCAACAAAUAUGUACAUCACCGUACAAACUAAAAACGUGCUAGUACUAAGGACAAGCAGGAGGCCGUAAAACAUUUUAUAGAAUUUGUUUUUCCGGUAGCUAGGUAAGACUUUACAGUUGUACACUAUUAAUCCGUGCGCCUCUUUUUCGGCAGAUCCAUAAAAAACAAGCACAGGGAUGCUAAAUAUAACAGCGAAUACAACGGUCGCUAUACAAGCGACAAAAGCUCCCUUGGUUGAGAGUUGUUUCAGAAAAGGUCUACAAGCCUUCCGGAAUCUUUCUACAGCUAUUACCCCUAACAUUAGACCCGAACUCAGCACAACACAGUGAUUGAUGUAGCGGAACGUUUUACACGUAUUUGUCGAGGUAAAUGUGUAUUUGUACCUCAUGUCAAAAAUCUCAAACGGAAUAACUACAAAGCAGGCAAGAAAGUCAAUCAAUGCCAGCGCUACCACAAACGUCCGAUGGUUGGAAGAAUUGUACCGGAAAAAGUAGACACAAAAAACGUGACCAUUUCCCACGGAACCGAUGACGGAGAGCAGGGCCAGAAAGACGGCGAUAGCCAGGUCAUUGUUCCUAAAUUCCUCCCACUCCAGGGCGGCCACACUGACUAGGGAGGAGUUGGUCAGGUUAGCACCCCCUCCACUGGAGUUGUACCCCAGCUCCAUCAUCUGCCUCUGUGUCCAGUCGAUUGUUUAUGAUACUACAGUGUUAUCUCAACGAGGAAGCUGUGGCAAGCUUACUUACGGAUCUGCCGGAAAUGGCUCUGUCAUACACUUAUCGUAUAUAUUUCCGCCUUUUCUUUUCAAUCAAUAUCGAUCUUAAUGGGCUCAUUAACAAAUAAUAAUAAUAAGUAAUCUUUCUGUAAUAGAGAUCCGAAACGCAUGUGCUGAAUGACGUUCGCUCAAGUUUUACACUCCUCCCGCCCUGCUUAAAGCUCAAGCCGACUUCACAAUUCCACGUAACACUGCAGUGACACAAUAAUGUUCCCGUCUCUUGAGGUCAUCUGCGUGAGGUCAUCUGCGUAAAUUAACAAACUUGUUAUUAUUUACAAACAAUAGCCGGAUCGAUAUAACCUUAAGACACUAAAACAAUCAAACCAAACUGUAGACGCUUUCUUUUAAAUUUAAAACACCAUCUUUACAAUAUUCUAAAGGAUAACAUAUUUUAACGUGAAUUCAGGGCUCAUUUCCAUGUGUAUGCUCUUUUUAGCAUCUUAAAUGCUUUUUAGUAGCAAAAGAAAAGAUUAUUAUUUGUCAAAUUCCCACUUAUCAAAAUUUUUUAAAAGUCAUAACAUGACCUCAAAGUGGAAUUAUUUCCGCAAAUCAAAUGAUUUUUUUUUCUCAUUGAUGUUAGUUUAUUUUGCUUGUUUUCUAGAUGUCUGUUUUUGUGUUGUAUUAAUUUGUUAAGUUUUUACCAUUUUACGUAUACAUGUAUUUACAAAAUUUGAUGGGUGUAUUAUUAUGAUGUGUUGCUCAACGUGCGUUUUGAUUUGACCAGCCUGCAGUUCUUGAUAAAUUACAUCGAGAAUGUAUUUGACGUUGGUGGGUCCCGUGGGUCCCGUCAGGUUCAGGUGAAUACCAAUAGAUAAAAAAAGUUCUAAUCAU